rfam:Octopus bimaculoides Scaffold58248_contig_84, whole genome shotgun sequence.
AGCUUUGCGCAGAGGCGGUACCAUAGCCAAUGAGGGUUAUCCGAGGCGUGGUUAUUGCUAGUUGAAAACUAUUCCCAAUACCCCGCGAUGGCGCCUAAUGGGCGCCAAUCGCAAUUUUUAGGCACCUCUACGGAGG